UAGGUGGAGCGGGCCAAAAUGCACCGCAGAGCAUGCCACACAUGUCCUUGCUGCGUACCGGGCGUCACUGGCUACAGUACGGGCCGAGCAGAUUGUAUGGGAGCCGUACACGCAUACGCUAGGCUCCCUACCUGCGUAUUGCACUGCUGGGCAGCAUAUUUGGAGGGCCGAGGUGCCGUUGAUAUUCUUUUGGAUAGUGGAGUGGCAUCAUCC